rnacentral:rRNA from 1 species
UGGGGAAUAUUGCACAAUGGGCGCAAGCCUGAUGCAGCCAUGCCGCGUGUAUGAAGAAGGCCUUCGGGUUGUAAAGUACUUUCAGCGGGGAGGAAGGGAGUAAAGUUAAUACCUUUGCUCAUUGACGUUACCCGCAGAAGAAGCACUGGCUAACUCCGUGCCAGCAGCCGCGGUAAUACGGAGGGUGCAAGCGUUAAUCGGAAUUACUGGGCGUAAAGCGCACGCAGGCGGUUUGUUAAGUCAGAUGUGAAAUCCCCGGGCUGAACCUGAGAACUUCAUCUGCUACUGGCAAGCUUGAGUCUCGUAGAGAGUGGUAGAGUUCCAGGUGUAGCGAUGAAAUGCGUAGAGAUCUGGAGGAAUACCGGUGGCGAAGGCGGCCCCCUGUACGAAGACUAACGCUCAGGUGCGAAAGCGUGGGGAGCAAACAGG